rnacentral:rRNA from 1 species
UACGGAGGGUGCAAGCGUUAAUCGGAAUUACUGGGCGUAAGCGCGCGUAGGCGGCUGAGUAAGUCGAUUGUGAAAUCCCCGGGCUCAACCUCGGGAAUUGCAUUCGAGACUGAAUAGCUAGGGUACGGUAGAGGGAAGCGGAAUUUCCGGUGUAGCGGUGAAAUGCGUAGAUAUCUGGAGGAACACCGGUGGCGAAGGCGGCAUCCUGGACCGACACUGACGCUGAGGAGCGAAAGCCAGGGGAGCAAAGCGGG